GCCGGGCAUGAUGGCGCAUGCCUGUAAUCCCAGCAGCUUGGGAGGCUGGGGCAGGAGGAUUGUGAGUUCAAGGUUAGCCUUGGAAUCUUAGCGAGGCAUCUAAGCAACUCAGAGAGAUACCCUGUCUCUA
rnacentral:sRNA from 1 species